GAAAUGAAGAGAAGCCUUCAGAAAUGAAGGAACAGAGGUCAUGGGAGAGGACAAAGAUGGCUCUACACUUGCUCUUAAUAGCCAUUCCAGGGCAUCUAUCUGGCUAGGAUAAGAUUGUGAUGCUGCUGAAGAUAACAAGCAGAAAUUCAGUUCUCACAUUCCAAGUUGGAACGUGAGCCAAGCUACCAUCUCCAGAAAUUGUCAGAAUCCCUUUCUUUCCUGCACUUUUAUGUCCACAAUCCGACUUCAUCACCUAAGUUUAGCAACCUCCAAUUCUCACCUGGAAUAUAGGAGCAAGAAAGUCUCAUUUUCCACUGAAAGAUGAGUGGAAGUCGUUGGUGGAAGUAGUCAUCCAGAUGCUAACUUGAUGGAGCUGACCCAAGGAACUAAAGAAUCCUGUCUUGUCUCCUGUUCAGUUUUCUCCAGUUUAAA
rnacentral:lncRNA from 10 species